rnacentral:rRNA from 1 species
AAUCAACGCUGGCGGCGUGCCUAACACAUGCAAGUCGAACGCGAAAGCCCCGCAAGGGGUAAGUAGAGUGGCAAACGGGUGAGUAACACGUGGGUGACCUGCCUUCGAGUGGGGGAUAACGUCCCGAAAGGGACGCUAAUACCGCAUGACAUCCCGCCUUUGGACAGGCGGGAGAUCAAAGCUGGGGAUCGCAAGACCCUGGCGCUUGAAGAGGGGCCCGCGCCUGAUUAGCAGUUGGUGAGGUAACGGCUCACCAAGGCAACGAUCAGUAUCCGGCCUGAGAGGGCGGACGGACACACUGGGACUGAGACACGGCCCAGACUCCUACGGGAGGCAGCAGGUGGGGAAUUUGUUCGCAAUGGGCGCAAGCCUGACGACGCAACCGCCGCGUGGAGGACGAAGAUCUUCGGGUCGUAACUCCUGUCGAGCGGGAAGAACAUCCAUCGGAU